rnacentral:rRNA from 1 species
UACAGAGGUCCCAAGCGUUGUUCGGAUUCACUGGGCGUAAAGGGUGCGUAGGCGGUCGGGUAAGUCUGACGUGAAAUCUUCAAGCUCAACUUGGAAACUGCGUCGGAUACUAUUCGGCUAGAGGGAUGGAGGGGAGACUGGAAUACUUGGUGUAGCAGUGAAAUGCGUAGAUAUCAAGUGGAACACCAGUGGCGAAGGCGAGUCUCUGGACAUUUCCUGACGCUGAGGCACGAAAGCCAGGGGAGCAAACGGG